rnacentral:lncRNA from 1 species
AGGGAAUGAACCUGCAACCUCAUGGUUCCUAGUCGGAUUCUUAAACCACUGCGCCACGACGGGAACUCCCUGGUAAAUUUCUUUUUUUUUUUUUUUCUCUUUCCAAUUAAACCCCUGGUAAAUUUCUGAUACGUGUUGCAAACUGCUUUUCAGGCUACCACAGGCUGGAUGCCGGAAAUCAGAAGGGGACAGAGGAGGUAGAUUCAGACCCCAAGUUGCAACGAGACAUGAGAUCCUGAAUCAUUCAAAGCAGACCAAGAACUCAAAAAGUUGCAGCUGCCUGUGAGCCAAGGCAGCUGCCCACAGAGCGCCCAUCACUGGAAGCAAAACCCCAGAGCCCCAGGGAGUUACGGAGAAGAGAGGCGAGUACCGGAAACCAGGGGAAACGCAGAGCCUCCGAGGUGCUGCUGUCAAGAGCGGAGCUGCAAGGUCUCGGGUGCAGGUGAGUGGGGAGGAGGGUGCAGCUCAGAGGGGUCCAGGAAGAGGGUGCCCCGAAGGGCAAAGGCUGGGCAGAGGGUGAUGCAAGGACGGGACCUGGGCCUGCGGGCGGAGAGGGACAAGGGGUGGGUGGAGGUGUGCAGGGUGGGUCUGGGCUCCGAGUUCCAGAGCUUAGAAGUGGACACUGGUGUGGCCGCCCACGCCCAGGGCUGGGCCUGGCACCAAGGAGGGAGGCGGCGGAGAACUGGCUUCUUUUCAGAUGCUGGAGAUCCAGGGCAUUUGGGGGAGGGGGUCGGAUCAGGGGCAGGUUGCCCCUCUGGGGAGCUGCAGCCGGAACUGUGAAGGCCACUGCCUUCCUCUCGGUAGCAGCCGUUCAUUCAACUAAAAACUCAUUUUUCCAAACUUUAUUUUGUGGAAAUGUCGGUGCCUCAUAAAAGCGAUAAGAAUUGCAGCCCUGGUAAGAAGGUGGUCGGGC